GUCAAUAUUUCCUAAGCCGAUUUGUUGAUAACGAAGCCCUGACUGUUACAGCAGUUGGGGCUUCAACU
rnacentral:antisense_RNA from 12 species